rnacentral:rRNA from 1 species
AUUGAACGCUGGCGGCAUGCCUUACACAUGCAAGUCGAACGGCAGCACGGGAGCAAUCCUGGUGGCGAGUGGCGAACGGGUGAGUAAUAUAUCGGAACGUGCCCAGUAGUGGGGGAUAACUGCUCGAAAGAGCAGCUAAUACCGCAUACGACCUGAGGGUGAAAGGGGGGGAUCGCAAGACCUCUCGCUAUUGGAGCGGCCGAUAUCAGAUUAGCUAGUUGGUGGGGUAAAGGCCUACCAAGGCAACGAUCUGUAGUUGGUCUGAGAGGACGACCAGCCACACUGGGACUGAGACACGGCCCAGACUCCUACGGGAGGCAGCAGUGGGGAAUUUUGGACAAUGGGCGCAAGCCUGAUCCAGCAAUGCCGCGUGCAGGAAGAA